UUUCAGCAGACCUCACCGGCUGGUACAUUUCAGACCACUCCAAUCUGUUUCGCUGAUGCGGAGAAAGCUUUUAUCGCUGCAGCAAUGUAUCUAGUACGGCUUUCCGUCAAGCAAAGGUAAUAAACCCUCUUGUAUUGAGAACGGUAUCAUCAGUUUGUUGACUUCGGUCAGAAUGGGAGCAACGAUCAGCACUCGGCCAAGAAGGGCAAGUAGUGACGUGACAGAGGGUCGACAACGGCCACAGUUACGCUCGGCAUCUGGGACAUUCUUAAAAACAGACAGUCACUUGUUGGCCCCAUGGUAUCCUGCUACACCUGUUACUAGUAAAAACAACUCUCCAAGGUUAACCAGAUCCUCUUUCAAUAAGAUACCUGAGGCUGAUGAAAUUAGCAAAAAUCCUAAUCUAGAGGAGGGCAGGCAACAGAGAGCAAAUAGUCGGUCAUUUCUGGGAAAGCUGAUCCGCCGUAAGAGGACCUCCUCUUUACUUGGCAGUAUAUCAACUGUCGAAGGAGCUGACACGGAAAUAUGUAUAGAAAUUUCCCAAGAUAAAAGUCCCAAAAUACUGCAAAGCAGAGCUGAACCGAACAGCUCCAACAUAAACGUGGAAAGGAAUCUGCAAGAUGAGGCAGAAAUCAGUUACCAGGACAGCAAAGAUGAUGAAGAUGACAGUGUCUUCUUAGAUGUUGAACCGAGACCUAGACUGGCAAGUGCUGAGAGUAGUUGCAGUGAAGGGGAACCAUCUGUCAUUGGGGGCAAUCAAUUACCAAAGAAACAAAGGAGUACAACAUUAGUAUACAGACCACCUGUAGCUGAGAAAGCAGUGCAAACUGAUCAAGUUGAAUACAUGUACACUGACAGUCGCAGUAUGCCAUGUGCCUACUGUAGACACCGUUGUCUCUGCUACAAGAAUGAUCCAUACGAUUCUAAUUCAUCCACCCAAUCACUAAAAUUGAAUUCUGAAGAGACAAAUAAACGCAGACGAAAACGGUGGUCUCCACUGAUAAAAAAGAGACCACUUCUAAUAAAACAAGCAGUUACUACUCAGCCACCAUCAAAAGCAAGGCACUGUGAAUAUGGGUAUCAGCCUACUCCACCAAACCCACAUCCAUCACGAAUGAUGACACAUAUAACCGACUACACACCUCAAUCACAACCAUCCUCACCUAAGGGAUGGCAUAUCCAGUAUCGUCAAAACAGAAGACGGCGACGAACCUUUUCUGAAGAUAGAGUUAAUGAACUGAAUUCUCAUCAGAGUAACAUCAACAGUAGUUAUCCUAGUCUGUGCUCACAAAAAUGUAUAUCUACACCAACUGACGAACAAAGACCCUCUGAUCAUAUCAGACGUGCAAGACUCUACACUUUAUGUCUCCAAAAAGCCAAGACACCCCUUGUGAAAAGUUCAUCUUACAGCCCAACAGUUCCGCUUAGACGACAAACAUGGUCAGAGAAAAGUCGUCCCACUGGUCCUCAAUGUUAAGGGUCAAAGAAGACUAAAGGUUUCCUGGGCAUGUUACGUCACUUGCGAAGCUCAUGCAGUGAAACCGAUAUAUCCAUGGAGCAUAGGCCAUCAGUGGACAGUAAUGGGUAUGUCGAUCCAUUCUAUAUCACCAGACAUUUCAACCGUCUCAACUUGAAAAGACUGUCCUUAUCGCAUCCUAACCUCAACAUUGGUUUGAAAGGAAGCAUAACUCCCCCUAGUGGUUUGAAAGGGAAAGUUUCAGCUGCUGUUGAGAGACUAGAAAGGGUGUUGACAGGGAGAACAUCAUUUGGGCGAACUUUCUCACAAGAAUCACAGCAAUCAACAAGUAACGGUUGGAACAGUGACUUACCAGGCAGUCCAUCCGACUCAGAUGCUGCUGUCUAUACGUACAAAAAACAACAGCGAUGUGAUUUAAAUCGUGAGAAUGGUUACAUGACAUUUGAUCCAGAACUGAAUCCUCCCUUGCCAAGACCUCGUCGAGUUUUAUCUAGUUCUUGCUCCUCAGCUCCAUCAAGUCCAGGUUUUCAGGAAAGAUGCAACACCGGUUUCGAGGAUGUCACAUGUAAUACUGGGUGCGAAGAAGAGAGCAUCUAUGAAAGUCUUGACAAUUAUUCCCCAAGGCACCGAGCAAGCACCUUGAAGAGUUUACCAUCUUCAGAAGGAGAAACCCCUCCUGAGGUGCCUCCAAGACCACCAUCUCAUCGACUGAGACAAAGACAACGUGUCCUUAGAAGACAGAUGCCCUUACCACCAAUCCCAACAGCUCACAGCACAAGCAUCUUGAAAGAUAGGUCACCAGUGCCAAUUAUGACUACUAGUUCAGCUGGUAACAUCAACACUGUCCAACACUCACUCAACAAAACAUCAGGUUGUAGAAAUAACUUUGUCACUGGACAAAGCUCGUCUUGUAGCACACUCCCCUUCCUUCGUAUGGAUUCAUCUGAAGAAGACUCCGUAUUUGAGGUACAUAUGGAGAACACAGCUGGUAGCAAAAUAAGGAAGGGAAAAACUACUGAAGACACACAAGUCUGUGUCGGUGUCAAAGAUGAGAAAAAUAUUAAUGAAAAGUGUCAAAAAGGUAGUGUUACAAAUACAAAUAAAUCUGAGAAACAAGUAGAAGGGCAUGCUGCUAUUGUUUAUGAAAACGAAGCUACAGUCAAUGGUAAUUAGACACAAGAAAGUGAUGGUCAUCAACAUUAACGUGAAUGAUACCUUUGUUCAUAAACUGCAUCACUUCUCUUCUCUCUCUUUAUGAAUUCUGCACGUAUAUAUUUACAUGUAGGCUUAUUGUGUGAUUUUAGUUAGGGUAAAAACGUGACCGGUUCUCUGGGAAAUUUCAUUCGUUGAGAAUUUAAUCUACAGUGUACUUAUAGUUAUUUAUGCCAUCCAAUAUUUCAACUUAAAGUGGAUAUUAAGGAUUUGAUUCAAAAUGAAGUGAACAAUGGAAAGACUUUCUGUGAACACAAGUCACACUUACAUUCGUAUACACUUAUACUUUUGAAACACGAUGAAUAAAUAUGCACACCUUCAUGAGAAAAUGACAGAAAAAAUACUCCCAAUGAUGUUCACCUUAAACGUAGGGUUUCUGAAGUGGCACACAUAUUGUGAAAAGGUCAAGUGAUGACUGAAAACCUAUCAAUAUUUCAUAGGUAUUUGAUUAAGAGUUUUACUUGGCAAUGCUACAUAUACAGUGUGUUGAUGAGGCAUGCAUGCAAAAUGGUGUAUAAAAUACACAUUUUCAAUGUCUUUCUUAAAAAUGGCCAUUGGCUAAUUUGCUUGUACAUGUCAAAGCAAAAUCAUAUCUAUAUUCAUUCUGUUCAAGUCUAUGCUGGCUCUAAUGUUAGAAUUACUGAACGUCAUGUCAGUGCACUCUAUUCUGAUAGGUCAAACGAGACUAUGCUGUGAAUUUCUACUGCCAACUCUAUAGCUGUUUUACCAUCAGUGAGAUACUCUAUAUGUACGUAUGCUUUACUUCAUUCCUACUGGAGUUGUAUAUUCAGUGAAUAUAUUGGCACAUGUAUCAUCCUUUUUCUUGUUUAUUUGUGGAGUUUUAAAAUCACAUCUGUUGAGAAGAUUCCUUCAUCAAUAGGUAAAACAAACUCAGUUUUCGAAAGCAGAUCUAAAUGAGGCAGUAGUUAAGCUAUUUAAUGGGUUGUAAUGGUAUGUAAUGUGAACAGAUAAUUAACACAUUGAAUAUUCAGCAGUGUUCAUAUAGUAGCAACGCUGACUUAUGUGACAAUGCAUAUUUUUAAUGGAAUCUUACAGGGUAUUCAAAGUAAUCAACUAAAAUUUAAACUAAGUGUAAGAUGAUGCCUUGAUGUGGGACUUGAUUACAAGAUAGAAGGGAUCACUAGAGGCAUAGCAGUGAGCAAUGAUAAGACAAGUUCAUUGUAUGAUCGUUGCAAAGUUUUAAACUCCAUUUAUAUCAUACAAUUUAUCAGCUGAAAAUAAUAGAUCCACUGAAAUUCAAAGUAGGAGAUUAAAACUAGGCCAGAGAGAAAAAUUUGCUGUUUGGAUAAUGAAUACUAUUUUCUCAUUAACCAAAAUUUGAAAUUGCCACGUAGGCUCAUUAUUUUUAACUUCCAACAAGCCCUUGUCAGACCUAAUGAAAGAAACAUCUCAACAACUGGAUGGCAGAUUUACU
rnacentral:misc_RNA from 1 species